rnacentral:rRNA from 1 species
GAUGAACGCUGGCGGCGUGCUUAACACAUGCAAGUCGAACGGGAAUUCUUUUAUUGAAACUUCGGUCGAUUUAAUUUAAUUCUAGUGGCGGACGGGUGAGUAACGCGUGGGUAACCUGCCUUAUACAGGGGGAUAACAGUCAGAAAUGGCUGCUAAUACCGCAUAAGCGCACAGAGCUGCAUGGCUCAGUGUGAAAAACUCCGGUGGUAUAAGAUGGACCCGCGUUGGAUUAGCUUGUUGGCAGGGUAACGGCCUACCAAGGCGACGAUCCAUAGCCGGCCUGAGAGGGUGAACGGCCACAUUGGGACUGAGACACGGCCCAGACUCCUACGGGAGGCAGCAGUGGGGAAUAUUGCACAAUGGGGGAAACCCUGAUGCAGCGACGCCGCGUGAAGGAAGAAGUAUCUCGGUAUGUAAACUUCUAUCAGCAGGGAAGAUAGUGACGGUACCUGACGAAGAAGCCCCGGCUAACUACGUG